CCGAGGGAUCUGGUCUCCAACUGUACUAGUGAGGGAGUUGAGCGUUCAACCAGGAGGCAAAGAGGUCUACUCCCAGAGGUCCCCAGGUAUCUGUGAUGUUCUUGAAUGUCAAAGGGUCCAGACGCUGAAGUCCCUGAGAUGUCUGGAGUACCAGUCCACAGUGGUGUUUGAAAGUCCAGGAAUAUAUUCCGCUGUCACCGAGAUAUUGUGCAUAAGGCAGAACUGCCAGAAGUCACGUGCCUG